AUCUCAGUGCAAGGGCUUUACACAUAUCAGUGAGGAUUCGUCCGAGAUUGUGUUUUUGCUAGUUGAAAACUAUCAACGACCUCCUGUUGUUGGCUGCGUGUCGGCAACGAAUUUUUGAACACCUAUAGA
rnacentral:snRNA from 1 species